rnacentral:rRNA from 1 species
AACGAACGCUGGCGGCAGGCCUAACACAUGCAAGUCGAGCGAGAAUGCGGGCUAGCGGCGGAUGGGUGAGUAAUGCGUGGGAACAUACCGUUUACUGCGGAGUAACUACUCGAAACGCUGAGUAAUACCGCAUACGACCUUCGGGGGAAAGAUUUAACGGUAAAGGAUUGGCCCGUGUUUGAUUAGAUAGUUGGUGGGGUAAUGGCCCACCAAGUCUACGAUCAGUAGCUGGUUUGAGAGGAUGAUCAGCCACACUGGGACUGAGACACGGCCCAGACUCCUAAGGGGGGCAGCAGUGAGGAAUAUUGGACAAUGGGCGAAAGCCUGAUCCAGCCAUGCCGCGUGAUGGAAGAAGGCCUUAGGGUUGUAAAGAUCUUUCAGAUGGGAAGAUAAUGACGGUACCAUCAGAAGAAGCCCCGGCUAACUCCGUGCCAGCCGCCGCCGUAAAAC